rnacentral:rRNA from 1 species
UACGGGGGGGGCAAGCGUUGUUCGGAAUUACUGGGCGUAAAGGGCUCGUAGGCGGCCAACUAAGUCAGACGUGAAAUCCCCGGGCUCAACCCGGGAACUGCGUCCGAUACUGGCAGGCUUGAAUCCGGGAGAGGGAUGCGGAAUUCCAGGUGUAGCGGUGAAAUGCGUAGAUAUCUGGAGGAAUACCGGUGGCGAAGGCGGCCCCCUGGACAAAGACUGACGCUCAGGUGCGAAAGCGUGGGGAGCAAACAGG